rnacentral:lncRNA from 1 species
CUAGAGAGGUCUUAGCUGACUGACUCCCACUGUGUGGGGGAAACAGAGGCCUGUGGGGUGGUAGGGCUCGUCCUCAGGCAACCUGAUCGCUGGCACGGCCCAGGCAGCACCAUUGUUGCUCUGAUGGCCUUUCUUCACCCACUUUGGCCUUUCCUAGGCGCCUGACCCCUGACCUCCUCUUUUUCCAUUCUCUUCAGGGAUCUCUGGGUUUUCCUGGUUUUCCUGGAGCCAGUGGAGAGAAGGGAGCUCGGGGCCUGUCUGGGAAAUCAGGACCUCGGGGAGAACGGGGC